rnacentral:rRNA from 1 species
GAUGAACGCUGGCGGCGUGCUUAACACAUGCAAGUCGAACGGAAAGGCGCUGCGCUUGUGGGGUGCUUGAGUGGCGAACGGGUGAGUAAAACGCGAGUAAACCGCACUUGAAUUUGGGAUAACAUCAGGAAACAGGGGAGAAAACAGGAGAGAAGCUCCUGCAGCACGGGGGGGGAUGGAAAGAUACGGCGGUGGUGGCUGGACUAGAGGGUUAUCAGCUUGUUGGGCGGGUAGUGGAGUCCCAAGGCUAUGACGGGUAGGCGGCAUGGGAGCGUGACCGGCCACCUUGCGCCUGCGGUACGGACCAGACUCCUACGGGCGGCAGCAGUCGGGAAUAUUGCGCAAUGGGCGCACGCCUGUUACGGCAACCCCGCGUUCGUAAUGACGUCCUUCGAGUUGUAAACCGCUUUCGCCUGUGACGAAGCCUGCGUGACGGUAAUGGGUCAAGAAGCCCCGGCUAACUACGUG